UACGUAGGGUGCGAGCGUUGUCCGGAAUUAUUGGGCGUAAAGAGCUCGUAGGCGGUGUGUCGCGUCGGCCGUGAAAACCUGGGGCUCAACUCUGGGCGUGCGGUCGAUACGGGCAUCACUUGAGUUCGGCAGGGGAGACUGGAAUUCCUGGUGUAGCGGUGAAAUGCGCAGAUAUCAGGAGGAACACCGGUGGCGAAGGCGGGUCUCUGGGCCGAUACUGACGCUGAGGAGCGAAAGCAUGGGGAGCGAACAGG
rnacentral:rRNA from 1 species